GCCCAGUUCCAGGGUCACUGGAGUCAAGUGGACCGAGGCUGCCUGCAGGAUGCUGCGUGCCACAGUCUGAGAACCUAAAAGACGGAGCUAAAAAGUCAGUGUCCAAAGUAGACAGAAGUGAUCCUCUGCCACUACUACAGGAGAUGCAACAUGGCGGAGAACCCAAAGAAGCGGCCGAGACAUGGUUCAGAAGUGGAUCCUACCACAAAGAAAAAGCCUGCACAUUCGGCUGAAGGUCUAUUUGCAAAGAAGGAAAGUGACCGACGGAGAAGGCAAACAAGGAUUUGUAUUGGCGUCCCUUUUCCUCGGUGGAGAGCCCUGAAGGAAGAAAUUGGAAUGAGGGCAGACACGGAUGUUGCCUUGCUGCUGUUGGAUAACUGGUGGCCAUUUGGGUUGCGUUUCCCCAUUGACUGUGGGACAGUUUUCUGGAGCGGCGUUGUAGAUGGCAGAUGUGGAGGUGAAGGCGCUGGAAUCCUGGAGCACAGGAGAAACAAUAUUAGAACCUGGCCGCACAGGAAAAAACACUUCUCAAGUUAUACUGAGUGGCCAAUAUAAUACCACAUAGCUGGCUGAACAAUCUGGUGCUGAAUGGCUGGAGAGCUGGCUUCUUAAGCAGGUUGCUGAUGAGGUGAUUAAGAGCAGGUAAAGAGUUCCACCAGGUGCCUGACGAGGUAGCCACACAUAUUUUACAGGAGACUUACACUAUUAAAACUACUGAAUAUAAAUUAAUACCAGGUUGGAUUUCUCAGAUCUACCACGCACUCUUCACAUCUUGAGCAAGGGGUGUACAGUAGCAAUCAUGUUUCGUAAUACUAUUCCCUUUCUACCUAAGAUCAAGAUUGCUGAUCCAAGUGAGAGAUUUCUUCUGAUCUCUGGCUAUAUGAAUUCCUCACCAGUCACUUUGUUAAAUACAUAUGGCCCGAACUCUGACGAUCCUACAUUUCUUCGAAAAGCUUUUAAGUUACUCUCAGAGGAUGGAUCCCCUAGUAUUUCUAUUGAUGGGGCCUUCAAUUGCUAUUUAGAUCAGUCCAUAGAUAGAUCAUCUUCUAAAUCUAAUGAUUCAAACCUCUACUGUUAUUAAUGAAUAUAUGACAAAAAAACUCAAUCAAUGACAACGAAGAAGUCUCUGAUUCUACUCUCUGGAAAACAUUAAAAGUUACCAUGAGGGAAUUUAUUAGUUGUUUUGUUUAAUCCACAUUGAAAUUCUUAAUAUUGUAAACUAUUUUAAUGUGUGUUCCUCUUGUGCUCAUGUUAAUGUAUUUUUCUAGGCUGCAGUAUUAUUGGAGCAGUUGAUGUCAAUGUUAUUAUGUAAAUGCACUGCAUAAAUUACACCACUAGGUGGUAUAUGCGAGUGAGAAGCAGGGUCACAAGCAGGAGUUUGAAGAAGUGUCUGUGGUUUUGUUACUGUAUGAGAAGAAAUGAGCAAGAAAGCAGUAGUUUUGUAUCGGCAGCCGGGAAAGCUUGCAGGCAGAUGUCAGAGAUGGAACUAGUUUACAUUUGUUAAAUACAGAAAUUUUUUAACAGUAAGCAUGACAAAUAAUAAGCUAGUAGCCCUAAAAGCGAAACCAAAUGUGAUUAGUUAUCUUAUACACUUAUACAGUGGCAUGGAGGUGAUACAGCAUGAUACAAUAUAUAAAGACAUGCUCAGUAGGCUGCUUUAUUUAUGGAUUUAUUAAUUCCUCUUUGACAGGGCUCAACAUAACAUUUACACGUGCAAGACAUUACAGACGUUAUAAAAGGACCUAAGAAUCUAAAAAAAUACACAGGAUGGAAAAUAAACAACACACAUCGAUACAUAAAAGAAAAGGACCAGCAGCAUUAGCAAACCAUUACUGGGACAUUGAAAUUCCUCUACUGUUGAGGGUAGUUUUUGCAUUUGGAAUGAAUGAUUUUUUAUAGAUUGUUUUUCUGGCCAGCAGGACUUAUAUUAUAUUAUAUUAUAUAUAUUUUGCAGUGCAUAAAAAUGUUAUUUAUUGAUAAGGAAGCGCAAUAAACGUGAUUUCCCUUUAUGGGCCAAGUGAUUUUUCAACAUGGGUCCUGGUGAUGGAAUGAAAUACAUAAGGAACUGGACUAAUUCCUCAUUUUGAGUCCACUCGUGAGUGGAACUGUUUUCCCUUCCACCAGAGAGGAAGAAAUUGAUAACUAAAUUUGUGAAUUCUUUUAAGGGGCCUGAUCCUGCCAACUCACUUAUAACUCAACUUAUAAAUUUUACCCUUCUGUAUCUCCAGACUGUGACAAAUGCAAGUUAAAUGAUGGUACACUUUUGCAUUUAUUCUGGAGCAGUCCACUACUCUAUUAAUUCUGGUCAAGAAUAUCAGAAUAUUUUUCUUUUUCUGGGGGGGGGGUAUCAUAGGAUGCUCUCUCCUGACAGGGACUUGGCUAUUCCUGGAUGUUCAAAGGACUCUUUAACACUUGCAUCAUACAUACCGACAGCUCUUUUGAUGGGCAUGUUGCUAGCCAAAAAUACACCGUGCUUCAGAAAUUGGCUGAGUGAACUUGUUUCAGUUAUUCACAUGGAAAAACUACGAUUUAAUCAUCCAAAAUCUGAAUAUAACUGGGAAGAAUCUUGGGGUCCUGUGUUCAAUAUAAUAUCAUAGACUGUAAAAAAAUAUAAUUAAUAAUUACAGAUGUAGCCUAUUUUAUUUUCAGCACUCGACUAGUGUGGGCUUUUAAUUUUCCCUGGGCGCGUGCAUGAGUUGAGGCUUAACAGGUGAGGCUUGAAUUAGCGUCAGUUGGAGCCAGCCAUAGGCAUUUCUAGCCCAUUUUUGGGGGUGCUGAAGCACCCCUAAAUUGAAUCCCAGCAUCCCUAAAAUUUGAGAGAUUUUUUAAAUUUUUUGUUUUUUUACUGUAUGUCCUUUUUUAAUAAGCUAGAAAAGUGUCAAAACCAUACAGUACUUGGUUGCAAUGUAAUAUUUUAACAACAAAAAUUUUUGCUGCAUUUAAUAGUAGGUCACUGUUUAUGUUGUUAGGUAGGAGUUAGCUGAAAUUUUUUCUAGCUAGGAAACGUUACAGGUGGUCAGUACCACUGUCCUCUGUUUGAAUUGGAAUGAGAGAAGCUAGCUGUUGUGUCAUGUGCAUGUGUUAAUAUUAAAGCCAAGGUGCUACUGACUAGCUAACUGACUGGAUGCCCAUGAACAUUAUAACUCCUAUUGUGUGUAUUUAUUAUUAUUAUUUUGUAGAUUUCAAGCACUUUUCUUUUUUGAAGUGUAUUUUUAUUUAUGUAUUUGUAUUAUAUAAUACAGACAAGAAGGAAAAAGGCAGAGACAAACAUUGAAAAAGUCAAUUACUGUUAAUGUGUUAAUGUUACAUGUUGUGCAUUGCAUUUCAAAUAAAAGUCCAAAAAAUAAGUCCAAGGUCCAUUUUUGGUAUUUUUGGUAUUUUUGUUACUCACUAUAGGGGGCUGGUUUACUCCAGAAACAUACAUACUGUUUAUGUGUAUGUUGAGGAGCUGCUGUAUCAAAAUGAGUUAUCUUCCCCCAGAAAUUAGGGUUAUGAUAUGUUUCAUUUAUGAUUCCAAUCCAUUUCUCUUUUGCUGUGGCUCAGCAUUUAAAUAACCUUUAUCAGAUUUGAUUUGCAUUUGAUGGUUUAGUCAUAGACUUUCCCAAAAACUGUUGUGCUUUUCUUUCACAAAUGUGGGAAUGAAAUUGAGAUAAAAUGUACAAAACAGUAAAAUUUAUCUUGCCUGGCCGGGCAGCUCUCUGGGUGCCCAGCACCCCUAAACCUCUGAUCCUAGAAUCGCCCCUGGAGCCAGCUGAUUUUACUUGAUGGAACGGGCUGGCGCUAGAUUGGGAGUUGGCGUUUAGUCAAACUUCAAGAUUAGACUUUAGUCUGCCCACACUAGUCGAGUGCUGAAAAUGUUGCAAAAUGUCAAAAAGCAAAGGAAGGGAGCGAGCGGAGGCUUUUUCUGCUUCUGAAAUUCACCAAAUGUGUAAACAACUGCAGACCGACUGAAUGCGUAAGUAAUCUAAAAAUAUACACUUGCUGCGCAAAUGAAUCUGUCAUAAUUACAAUUAAAGUUCCUUCCACAAAUUAACAGUUGAACACUUCACCUUAAAGGUGAGCAGUGGAUAUAAUAUUACUCGGGAACCAACUGCUGAUUUCACACCAGCGGAAGAGCUCGCCCUGGAUCAGAACUGAGCAGGCCAAUGAUGGAGGGGAUACAGGGGGGGACAGCUACAGACUUUGUUCCACCCACAGAAACCGCCCUCUUCAUACAAGGUACAUUAUUCCAGUAUACUGUACAUGGAAUCAGUCAUUUUAUUAAUUCAUUAAUCAACCUGCCAGUCUUGUGGAGAUAAUUUAGUCCUUAAUGUAUAAGAAGUCAGUGAUGUGGUGCUCAUAGAAAAUAUAUUUGUAACAGGACACAGAUGAACAGCCUGACAGCCUGCCUGGAAAUGUAGUGAGUAUUGCCUGAAGGACAUCCACGGUGUCCAC